GAUAUCAGGGUCAAAAGGUCAAAAAGUCGUUCGUGCUUGCACGAUAAGACUUUUGAACUUGGGACCCGCCAAACAUGAGAAAGUAGCGAUUUACGUAGUAAAUCAGCGGAUUUCGAAUGUUUGAGAAUUGCGGGAGCUACUUUGUAGCGGAGCAAUUCGUGGAUA
rnacentral:sRNA from 1 species